GAUGAACGCUAGCGGGAGGCUUAACACAUGCAAGUCGAGGGGCAGCAUAGGGUAGCAAUACUCUGAUGGCGACCGGCAAACAGGUGAGUAACGCGUAUGCAACCUACCCUGUACAGGGGGAUAACCCGGAGAAAUUCGGACUAAUAUCCCGUAAUAAUAUCCGGAGGCAUCUUUGGAUAUUUAAAGUUUCGACGGUACGGGAUGGGCAUGCGUAACAUUAGCUGGUUGGUAAGGUAACGGCUUACCAAGGCUAUGAUGUUUAGGGGUCCUGAGAGGGUGGUCCCCCACACUGGUACUGAGACACGGACCAGACUCCUACGGGAGGCAGCAGUGAGGAAUAUUGGUCAAUGGGCGCAAGCCUGAACCAGCCAUCCCGCGUGCAGGAAGACGGCCCUAUGGGUUGUAAACUGCUUUUCCAGGGAGAGAAACUUACGCACGUGUUGCGUGACUGACGGUACCCUGGGAAUAAGCAUCGGCUAACUCCGUGCCAGCAGCCGCGGUAAUACGUCUA
rnacentral:rRNA from 1 species